rnacentral:rRNA from 1 species
GACGAACGCUGGCGGCGUGCUUAACGCAUGCAAGUCGAACGGAAAGGCCCUGCUUUUGUGGGGUGCUCGAGUGGCGAACGGGUGAGUAACACGUGAGUAACCUGCCCUUGACUUUGGGAUAACUUCAGGAAACUGGGGCUAAUACCGGAUAGGAGCUCCUGCUGCAUGGUGGGGGUUGGAAAGUUUCGGCGGUUGGGGAUGGACUCGCGGCUUAUCAGCUUGUUGGUGGGGUAGUGGCUUACCAAGGCUUUGACGGGUAGCCGGCCUGAGAGGGUGACCGGCCACAUUGGGCCUGAGAUACGGCCCAGACUCCUACGGGAGGCAGCAGUGGGGAAUAUUGCACAAUGGGCGGAAGCCUGAUGCAGCAACGCCGCGUGCGGGAUGACGGCCUUCGGGUUGUAAACCGCUUUCGCCUGUGACGAAGCGUGAGUGACGGUAAUGGGUAAAGAAGCACCGGCUAACUACGUG